GAUUUCAAGUAAAAAAGUCAUCAACAACAAAGUUUUAUAACUCGUCAAUAUCUAUAACUUUUAUUUUGGUCAUUUCUUCAUCCGACAAAGUGAUAGUAAAAUUGUUCACAAAAUAUACAUAUCUCUCUUAUAGUUUAUAAAACCAUAUAAGAGAUAUGUAAAUUUUAUGAAUAAUGUUAAAAUUACUUUGUCGAAUGAACAAAUGACCAAAAUAAAAUUUGUAGAUCUAGAUGGAUUAUACAACUUUGUUGUUGAUGACUUUUUCAAUUGAAGUC
rnacentral:pre_miRNA from 1 species